rnacentral:rRNA from 1 species
AGCGAACGCUGGCGGCAGGCUUAACACAUGCAAGUCGAGCGGGCCCCUCGGGGUCAGCGGCGGACGGGUGAGUAACGCGUGGGAACGUGCCUUCUGGUUCGGAAUAACCCUGGGAAACUAGGGCUAAUACCGGAUACGCCCUUAUGGGGAAAGGUUUACUGCCGGAAGAUCGGCCCGCGUCUGAUUAGCCAGUUGGUGGGGUAACGGCCUACCAAGGCGACGAUCAGUAGCUGGUCUGAGAGGAUGAUCAGCCACACUGGGACUGAGACACGGCCCAGACUCCUACGGGAGGCAGCAGUGGGGAAUAUUGGACAAUGGUCGCAAGCCUGAUCCAGCCAUGCCGCGUGAGUGAUGAAGGCCUUAGGGUUGUAAAGCUCUUUUAUCCGGGACGAUAAUGACGGUACCGGAGGAAUAAGCCCCGGCUAACUUCGUGCCAGCCGCCGCGGUAA